rnacentral:rRNA from 1 species
UACGGGGGGAGCAAGCGUUGUUCGGAUUUACUGGGCGUAAAGGGCGCGUAGGCGGCCACCGCAAGUCGGUUGUGAAAUCUCCGGGCUUAACCCGGAAAGGUCAAUCGAUACUGCGGGGCUAGAGUGCAGAAGGGGCAACUGGAAUUCUCGGUGUAGCGGUGAAAUGCGUAGAUAUCAGGAGGAACACCGGUGGCGAAGGCGGGUCUCUGGGCCGAUACUGACGCUGAGGAGCGAAAGCGUGGGGGAGCGAACAGG